rnacentral:ncRNA from 1 species
GGUCAAGCUAGUAAGGGCAUAGGGUGGAUGCCUUGGCACCAGGAGCCGAUGAAGGACGGGAUAAGCGCCGAUACGCCUCGGGUAGCCGCAAGUAGGCGUUGAUCCGGGGAUUUCCGAAUGGGGGAACCCACCUAGGGCAAACCCUAGGUAUCACCUACUGAAUACAUAGGUAGGUGAGGGCAUACCGGGGGAACUGAAACAUCUAAGUACCCCGAGGAAAAGAAAGAAAACUCGAUUCCCUAAGUAGCGGCGAGCGAAAGGGGAACAGCCCAAACCCGGCACUCAACUGAACUUCG